rnacentral:rRNA from 1 species
CAUGCAAGUCGAACGAGGAUAUAUCCUUCGGGAUAUAAGCCGAGUGGCGCAAGGGUGAGUAAUGCAUAGAUUACCUGCCUCUAGGAUAAGGACAACUUUGUGAAAACGAAGCUAAUACUUAAUAAUACAAAAGAAAAUAAUUUUCUUUUGUCAAUGGGAGGGUAGCAAUACCUUUUGCCUAGAGAGGGGUUUAUGUCCUAUCAGCUUGUUGGUGGGGUAAUGGCCUACCAAGGCGAAGACGGGUAGCCGGUCUUAGAGGAUGGUCGGCCACACUGGGACUGAGACACUGCCCAGACUUCUACGGAAGGCUGCAGUCGAGAAUCUUUCGCAAUGCCCGAAAGGGUGACGAAGCGACGCCGCGUGAGUGAGGAAGGCCUUAGGGUUGUAAAGCUCUGUCAGGAGUUAAGAAAUUUAAGUGUGCUAAUACCGCAUUUAUUUGACGAAGGCUCCAAAGGAAGCCACGGCUAACUCUGUGCCAGCAGCCGCGGUAAUACAGAGGUGGCAAGCGUUGUUCGGAAUUAUUGGGCGUAAAGAGCACGUAGGUGGGUUUGUAAGUCAGAUGUGAAAGCCUUCUGUUCAACGGAAGAAUUGCAUCUGAAACUGCAAGUCUUGAGUGUAGGAGGGGAGAAUGGAACUUCUGGUGGAGCGGUGAAAUGCGUAGAUAUCAGAAGGAACGCCGGCGGCGAAAGCGAUUCUCUGGCCUAUUACUGACACUCAGUGUGCGAAAGCUAGGGGAGCAAACGGGAUUAGAUACCCCGGUAGUCCUAGCCGUAAACGAUGGGCACUAAGUAGAGGGAAUUACCGACGUUCUCUCUGCCGUAGCUAACGCAUUAAGUGCCCCGCCUGGGGAGUACGGCCGCAAGGCUAAAACUCAAAAGAAUUGACGGGGGCUCGCACAAGCGGUGGAGCAUGUGGCUUAAUUCGAUGCAACGCGAAAAACCUUACCGGGGCUUGACAUGGCAGAAGUAGGAACCCGAAAGGGUAACGAACGGUAUCCAGUCCGUAGCUAUCACAGGUGUUGCAUGGCUGUCGUCAGCUCGUGUCGUGAGACGUUGGGUUAAGUCCCCUAACGAGCGAAACCCUUGUUUUUAGUUACCAGCGGGUUAUGCCGGGUACUCUAGAAAGACUGCCGUCGUCAAGACGGAGGAAGGUGGGGAUGACGUCAAGUCAUCAUGGCCCUUAUGCCCCGGGCUGCACACGUGCUACAAUGGUCGGUACAAACGGAAGCGAAGCCGAGAGGUGAAGCGAAUCCUAAAAAGCCGAUCUCAGUUCGGAUUGGAGGCUGAAAUUCGCCUCCAUGAAGUUGGAAUCGCUAGUAAUCGCGGAUCAGCAAUGCCGCGGUGAAUAUGUUCCCGAGCCUUGUACACACCGCCCGUCAAGCCACCCAAGCAGGAUGCACCCGAAAACAUUAUAUCUAACCAGGGCAACUUGGAGGAAAGUGUUGAAGGAGUGUUUUGUGAGGAGGACUAAGUCGUAACAAGGUAGUCGUAGGAGAACCUGCGGCUGGAUCACCUCCUUUCU